AUGCACACCAUCAGCGUGUGCCAACCAGCUUGGCUCGAAGAUAUUGUCAUCACCUACAACACUAACCCUCAAGCGCAAAAACUCCUCGAGCAGCUGGUUGUGCGAGAGGAUCCAAAAGGUAGAUUCCAGCUUCAGAACGGACUGCUUCAUUUCCAUGGCCGCAUAUGGCUGGGAGGAAGCACAGCUAUGCAACAACACAUCAUCGCAGCCUUCCACGACAACCCGAUGGGUGGUCACUCAGGCUUUCCGGUGACGUAUCACCGCAUUCGCAAGCUGUUCGCUUGGCCCAAGAUGAAGGCGCAUGUUCAGCAGUACGUGCGGUGCUUCUAG
rnacentral:rRNA from 1 species